CCCGCUGAACUUAAGCAUAUCAAUAAGCGGAGGAAAAGAAACUAACAAGGAUUCCCCUAGUAACUGCGAGUGAAGCGGGAAGAGCUCAAAUUUAAAAUCUGGCAGUCUUUGGCUGUCCGAGUUGUAAUCUAGAGAAGUGUUACCCGUGCUGGACCGUAUACAAGUCCUCUGGAAUGGGGCGUCAUAGAGGGUGAGAAUCCCGUCUUUGAUACGGACUACCAGUGCUUUGUGGUGCGCUCUCGAAGAGUCGAGUUGUUUGGGAAUGCAGCUCAAAAUGGGUGGUAAAUUCCAUCUAAAGCUAAAUAUAGGCGAGAGACCGAUAGCGAACAAGUACCGUGAGGGAAAGAUGAAAAGAACUUUGGAAAGAGAGUUAAACAGUACGUGAAAUUGCUGAAAGGGAAACGCUUGAAGUCAGUCGCGUUGGCUGAGAAUCAGCCUUGCUCUUUUGCUUGGUGUACUUCUCAGUUGAUGGGUCAGCAUCAGUUUCGACUGCUGGAUAAAGCUCGAGGGAAUGUGGCAUCUUCGGAUGUGUUAUAGCCCUCGUUCGUAUACAGCAGUUGGGACUGAGGAACUCAGCAUGCCGCAAGGCCGGGUUUUUAACCACGUACGUGCUUAGGAUGCUGGCAUAAUGGCUUUAAUCGACCCGUCUUGAAACACGG
rnacentral:rRNA from 1 species